GUGUCAGCAGCCGCGGUAAUACGAAGGGUGCGAGCGUUGUUCGGAAUUAUUGGGCGUAAAGGGUUCGUAGGCGGGAGAAUAAGUUAAGUGUGAAAGACCUGGGCUUAACCUGGGAGUGUCACUUAAAACUGUUUUUCUUGAGUCUCAGAGAGGGUGGUGGAAUUGCUGGUGUAGGAGUGACAUCCGUAGAGAUCAGCAGGAACAUCGGAGGCGAAGGCGACCACCUGGCUGAAGACUGACGCUGAGGAACGAAAGCGUGGGGAGCAAACAGGAUUAGAUACCCUGGUAGUCCACGCCGUAAACGAUGAUUACUAGGUGUUGGGGGAGUUGACCCCCUCAGUACCGGAGCACACGCGUUAAGUAAUCCGCCUGGGGAGUACGACCGCAAGGUUAAA
rnacentral:rRNA from 1 species